rnacentral:rRNA from 1 species
GAUGAACGCUGGCGGCGUGCCUAAUACAUGCAAGUCGAGCGAAGCGGGGACGGGUGAGUAACACGUGGAUAACCUCCUAUAAGACUGGGAUAACUUAGGGAAACCGGAGCUAAACCGGAUACUUAGAGAUGGAUCCGAGCUGCAUUAGCUAGUUGGUAAGGUAACGGCUUACCAAUGCAACGAUGCAUAGCCGACCUGAGAGGGUGACCGGCCACACUGGAACUGAGACACGGUCCAGACUCCUACGGGAGGCAGCAGUAGGGAAUCUUCCACAAUGGGCGAAAGCCUGACGCAGCCACGCCGCGUGUGUGAUGAAGGUCUUCGGAUCGUAAAACUCUUUUAUUAGGGAAGCGGUACCUAAUCAGAAAGCCACGGCUAACUACGUGCCAGCAGCCGCGGUAAUAC